rnacentral:rRNA from 1 species
UACAGAGGUCUCGAGCGUUAGGCGGAAUCACUGGGCUUAAAGCGUGUGUAGGCGGAUCGGUAAGUACCUUGUGAAAUCCCACAGCUUAACUGUGGAACUGCUUGGUAUACUGCCAGUCUUGAGCCAGCUAGGGGCUACCGGAACAAAUGGUGGAGCGGUGAAAUGCGUAGAUAUCAUUGGAACGCCAAUGGUGAAAACAGGUAGCUGGGGCUGUGCUGACGCUGAGACACGAAAGCCAGGGGAGCAAACGGG